GCCCUUAAGAAUACUGCAAACAUGAAAACAUAAACGUGCUGCAACCAUACUGUAUGACUUCAGAAACUCGUCUUACUGGCCUUCCGACAACGAUACAAGAAGACAAGAUUUGUUGCUGGCCAUCAAUGAACAGAUCAACGUGUAGUGACAAUGAAACGUCAACAGAAUUUGAUUAUGCAACGUCAUUUGCCAGACAUGUUUACGGUCGCAACGUCAACUGCUAAUCAAACUGCCGAGUGCAUUGAGUACAGAUUCAUGCCAUCAACUGAAUUGCCAAAGAAUCGACUGAAGGAACCCUUUAAAACCCUCAAGUUCCAACCGCAUAAUUGCCAAAACCAAUUAAUGGGUUGAACAAAUGCAAAAUCAGAAGGUGUAAAACAGAAGCCAAAACAUGUCAGACAGAAUUUGUUGACCUUUCUGACAAUCAUUUUGGCGUUUGUAACAGGCAGUCAUCGCUUUUGA
rnacentral:lncRNA from 1 species